GUGCCAGCAGCCGCGGUAAUACGAAGGGUGCAAGCGUUAAUCGGAAUUACUGGGCGUAAAGCGCGCGUAGGUGGUUCGUUAAGUUGGAUGUGAAAGCCCCGGGCUCAACCUGGGAACUGCAUCCAAAACUGGCGAGCUAGAGUACGGUAGAGGGUGGUGGAAUUUCCUGUGUAGCGGUGAAAUGCGUAGAUAUAGGAAGGAACACCAGUGGCGAAGGCGACCACCUGGACUGAUACUGACACUGAGGUGCGAAAGCGUGGGGAGCAAACAGGAUUAGAUACCCUUGUAGUCC
rnacentral:rRNA from 1 species